rnacentral:lncRNA from 1 species
GCAAUCCCAGGAUUCCUGAAUCUCAGAAUUCCUGGGACCACUUCUGGGAUCAGUCAAGAACCAAUCAGAGCAGGGAAUGCAUCUGAGACAAAACAAAUUUCUGGUGUAGUCAUGGAGUAUAGCGUGUGUACUUGACAACUUACUAGCUGUAUGAUCUUUGGAAUGUUGGGUGAUCUGUCCAGGAGUGUUUUCAUUUGUCAAGUGGAGGUGAUAUUAUUUCUCUGCCCUACCACACUCAGCCAAGUGGCCGUGAAUCAUAUAUCUCUCCUCCCACUGCUUGCAGCUGCAGUUCUUUGGAACUUGGAGGACACCAGACAAGCAGCUUAUAAAUGACAGGCAGUGAAGGGCUCUGCUCAGAUAGAAUAACUGCUUGAAUCCAGUCUUUCAUCUGAAAAUUAAAAUGGACAACUCCCAGAAGCUCCUGGGGUUUGGGAAAUUUUGGGGACCAUGGAUAAGCUGAUGAGGCAGAGAUGAGUCAUUCAUAAGAAGAGAAGAAUGGAGAAGAGAAGAGCAAACUGGGAGAGGCAGAGACUGGGGACACUGAGGGAGCCUCCCCUGGGUGUCAGCAUCCACCCCCCAAGAUGCAGAAGGUUCUGCCCUAUUUCCUCAUUUGGGUUCCCUCAGAGCAAAACCAACAAAACAAAACUCUCCCUUUCACUUGAACUGUCUGCAUGGUCUGUCUUCCUUGAAAUCAAAAGAUUCUGGCCUGGGGAAAAAAGAACAUCUCUAAUACACUGCAGACCACAAAGGCGAAAAAUAUUGAGGAUCUCAAAUAUUCACACCCAAGAAUCUACUUCAUCAGACGGUUAAGAGAGUCAGAGGGACAUUCAGAGGACUUUGAAGAGUCCACAGCCUGCCUUCUCUUCCCUGAACGGACAAGCUCAGUCAGCUGUGACCGGGAAUGCUGCUGCUCUAGCGUGCAGCUGCAUUUCUCCUGCAGGCUCAGAGAGAGAACUCGGUCACUUGGCCCAGCCUGGACCAGAGUUGGCUGGUCACCUAGGACAGAACAGCCUUCUGGAUAUGGUUGAUGUUUUCCUCACUAGCUUAGCCCAGGAAGAAGAACAUUCAGAUUUACUGUCCAUCUGAAACCAAGAAAACCGUUGUAUGACCUUAAGUUCCUUGAAAUAUUUGCAUUGAAAGAGUUGCAUGGGUCAAAUAAUCACAAAUAAAGGACCCAAUUUCCUUCUGUGCCGGAGAAGACACAGUGGACUCUUUGGGAUUGUUUGUCCUUCUCUUGCUUUCCUGCCAGCUUCCACAAAACGAUGCCAGUGGGGUCCAGGAACCUGGAUCCAGGCUGCAGAGUGUGGCUGAAGGAGGCUGUCAUCCAGUCUCUGUGGGUGCAGGGAGGGCCCACUGCCUUGUAGCUGUGGAGCUGACACUUUCUGUGAGAGAGCAUGUUCCUGGCACGUGUGACAAAGGAGGCCACCAGAAGCAGAGGAACUUCAGAGUCACUUGAGACUGAGGAAGAUGUGGAGUUUGAACUGAGCCUUGAAGAUUUCAAGAAGCACUGACAGAAGAGGAAGGCAUUCCAAGCCGGGUCUUGUGUGGGGAAGGACGUGGAGGCAGUAGAGAGACAGCGAGUGCUGCUUGGCCUGCAGGGUCCAAGUAGGGAAGUGGCUGGAAAGCUAAGUGAGGACCGGACGGGAAAGUCCUAUAGAGCAGCCUGAGCAGUGCCCAAGCAGCUGAAGGAUUUUGAGCAGGAAGAUGGCAUGAUCAGAGCUGGCACUGGAUGGUUAUUCUGGGGUAAAUGUAGCUAGGGAACUGUAACUCCUUAUUCUUAGGGGCAUGUUAGGGAUGGAAUUUUGGUUCUGAAAUGCACCCCUAUGUCUUAUGUCAUUUCUACCUCGUGGAUGAAGUUUUGAUUUGUAAGUUAUUUUAUACUGUCUUUGGAAAGGAUUGUCUUUGCCAGGGGAUUUAUUUUUAUAUUUCCUGAGCCCUUCCUUCAGAUAGCUUAUAUUUUAGUUGAGAGACAAGACUAGAACACGUGAAAGAACAAUACAAAGCAAAAUGCAAGAUUCAGUUCAGACUAGAAGUUCUUGAGGACAACUGAGGAGAGGGACAACAAUGUGGUGCUAAAUGAAAGUCUCAGGAAAAUCCCCAAAUGGGGCACCUCCAGGAAUUGAGAACUAAGGGGAUUAGUAGAGAGAUAGUGACUAUUGCUCUUAAGCAAGGAGUUGUGGACACCCUUGUUUGCCUGCUAAGUAUCCUAUGUGCCCUUCCACUUUCCUGUUAGAACUUAGAUUUUGUAGGCCAAGUGACGCAGGGGGAAGCUGACCCGUGACUCCACAAACCACGACUCUAGGAGUGAGUCCUGAUCAGUCUAAAUAAACUCAUCUUGCUGAUGCCACCUCUCCUUGCCAGUGAUUGGUUCAGGGAUCCAGGUGUAAGCCAAUAAGGGCUUCUAUUCUUCUG